rnacentral:misc_RNA from 1 species
GUCCAAUCUCCUUCAAAAUCUCUUUUGGUAGAUGAUCUUCCAAUUUCUUUACCAUCCAUUCUUCCACCCCUUGGCUUUUCUUCCCCGAAAAUAGCUCUUUGAUCUUGUUGAAUGACUUGAGUUGGUUGGUUUGAGAACCAACAAAGUGCAAAGUUGCCUGGAUCACUUUCUUCGCAAACUCUGAUUGUUUCUGGGGGCUAAAUCUUUCAUCCGGAGGGAUGCAGGUAGACAUAUUGAACAUCACCUCCUUCACAUUUUCUGUUUGAAGAGUAAUAAGGUUCGUAUGAUUUCUG